AAACACACCAUUUUCUCACUUAUCCAAUCUAAAAUAUCGUCUGAAAUUCAUCAAAUUCCCUAACAACAACAACAGCAACAACCCAAACACUGGUUCACCUUACUCUCUUCCCUCUUCAAAGUCCAACCCCCAAACUCAAGCCCUAACCCUAAACAUGGAGCUUGGUUCUUUGUACGACAGAUGCAUUUGGUCUCCGAUUCGCUCUUCCUCUCCCAACCGCCCUCUCUUGGUUCAUUCCAGCGUUUCAGUUUCACUUCGGAAGAAUCUUACACUUGCCACUUCUUAUUCUCGAUCAUUUCGCCGGAGAAAUCUCUGUGCGGCAUCGAAUUCGGAUACUUUGGUCGCUGGGUCGCGAAAGGAGGAGGAGGGGAAGUAUCGUGAUGUUGCCAGCAAGAAAGAGGAGGAUGAGUCUGGGGAUUUGAAGUCUUGGAUGCACGAGAAUGGGCUUCCUCAUUGCAAGGUUGUGCUUAAAGAAAAGCCUUCCCUUAACGAGAAGCAUAGGCCUAUUCACUACGUUGCUGCUAGUGAAAAUCUUCAGAUUGGGGAUGUUGCAUUCUCUGUGCCCAAUUCCCUGGUUGUAACGCUUGAGAGAGUAUUGGGGAACGAGACAAUUGCGGAAUUGUUAACUACGAAUAAAUUGUCGGAGCUGGCGUGCUUGGCUUUGUAUUUGAUGUAUGAAAAGAAGCAAGGAAAGAAGUCUUUUUGGUACCCUUAUAUAAGAGAGCUUGACCGUCAACGAGGGAGGGGACAGUUGGCUGUGGAAUCUCCUCUUUUAUGGUCGGAAGCCGAACUGGAUUACUUGACAGGCAGUCCCACUAAGGCUGAAAUUUUUGGAAGGGCUGAAGGAAUAAAAAGGGAAUAUGAAGAGCUUGACACUGUGUGGUUUAUGGCUGGGUCUCUUUUUCAGCAAUACCCAUAUGAUAUUCCUACAGAGGCUUUCUCUUUUGAAAUUUUCAAACAAGCUUUUGUUGCUGUGCAGUCAUGUGUUGUGCAUUUGCAGAAAGUCAGCUUGGCUCGUAGGUUUGCUUUGGUCCCUCUUGGACCCCCAUUAUUAGCUUACAGAAGCAACUGCAGGGCAAUGUUAACAGCUGUUGAUGGUGCUGUUCAACUUGUGGUUGAUCGCCCAUAUAAGGCUGGAGAAUCUAUCGCUGUUUGGUGCGGACCACAGCCUAAUUCAAAAUUGCUUAUAAACUAUGGAUUUGUCGAUGAGGAUAAUUCUAAUGACCGCUUGGUUAUUGAGGCAGCUUUGAAUACUGAGGAUCCUCUGUAUCAAGAAAAAAGAAUGGUUGCUCAGAGGAAUGGAAAAUUAUCCGUGCAAGUUUUUCAUGUAUAUGCUGGAAAGGAAAGAGAAGCUAUUUUGGAUAUGCUUCCAUAUAUUCGAUUGGGCUAUUUAUCAGAACCUUCAGAGAUGCAAUCUGUUCUCUCUUCUCAGGGUCCAGUUUGUCCAGUAAGCCCUUGUAUGGAACGAGCUGUGUUGGACCAACUUGCUGAUUAUUUUAGGACUCGCCUAGAUGGCUAUCCAUCUACCUUGAAAGAAGACGAGACUUUGUUAGCAGAUGGUAAUUUGAAUCCCAAAAAGCAAGUUGCCACACGGCUUAUCAUACUAGAAAAGAAAAUGCUUCAUGCAUGCCUGCAGGCAACCGUUGAUUAUAUAAAUCAGUUACCAGACCAUUCCGUAUCUCCCUGUCCAGCUCCUUAUGCCCCUUUAUUGAAAUAAAGAGAUCACCUACUCUUUCAAAAGUGUGGAAGUUCUUAAGUACUUGAGCCAGUUGAUAUGGGGGAAAGUUAACCAGAUUUGUUUCUUAAAAAUUUCAGGACUGUAAAGUAAGCUAUAAAUAACUUGUAUCUGUUUAUAGGACAACGGAUUGACAGCACCAGGAUUAGGAAUAAUAAGGUAGAGACAUAAGAAAUCGAGCAGUUUGUUGGAUAAUCAAGCACUUGAGAGAAAUGAGCUAUUCCCUUAUCAUCUAUGCUUGUGUGGAUAACAAAUUGAUCCCACAUUCGACCCUUAUUCCAUUCUCUAAGUCUCAUCCACUUACAUGAUAUGGCUGCAUUCUGCGAGUCCUCCAAUCUGGCCAUUUAAGUAUCAAGGAUGUUGAUAAUUGUGUUCACUAUAAAAAUCUUGUUCUAUUUUUGUAAAUGUAAAAGCAAAUGAUUAGUGCUAAUUCAAUUGUAUUCAUUUACUUCUGUACAACUUUGGUGUACCCUUUGGAUUUUGGGCUUCGUGCUAUUUUUUUUCCUCAGUCCCUGUUUUGAGCAGUCGAGUAAAGAAUGUGAUUUUGGCUUAA